GGAUUAGAUACCCUGGUAGUCCACGCAGUAAACGAUGAGUGCUAGUCGCUGGGACAAUAGUUUCAGUGUCGUAGCUAACGCAUUAAGCACUCCGCCUGGGAAGUACGGUCGCAAGAUUAAAACUCAAAUAAAUUGACGGGGGCCCGCACAAGCGGUGGAGCAUGUGGUUUAAUUCGAAGCAACGCGAAGAACCUUACCAGACCUUGACAUGGUAUGUUUGAACAACAGAAUAGUUGUUCUUCAGUUCGGCUGGCAUACACACAGGUGCUGCAUGGCUGUCGUCAGCUCGUGCCG
rnacentral:rRNA from 1 species